rnacentral:rRNA from 1 species
AGUGAACGCUGGCGGUAGGCCUAACACAUGCAAGUCGAACGGCAGCACAGUAAGAGCUUGCUCUUACGGGUGGCGAGUGGCGGACGGGUGAGGAAUACAUCGGAAUCUACUUUUUCGUGGGGGAUAACGUAGGGAAACUUACGCUAAUACCGCAUACGACCUACGGGUGAAAGCAGGGGAUCUUCGGACCUUGCGCGAUUGAAUGAGCCGAUGUCGGAUUAGCUAGUUGGCGGGGUAAAGGCCCACCAAGGCGACGAUCCGUAGCUGGUCUGAGAGACUGAUCGGCCACACUGGAACUGAGACACGGUCCAGACUCCUACGGGAGGCAGCAGUGGGGAAUAUUAGACAAUGGGCGCAAGCCUGAUCCAGCCAUACCGCGUGGGUGAAGAAGGCCUUCGGGUUGUAAAGCCCUUUUGUUGGGAAAGAAAAGCAGCAGGUUAAUACCCCGCUGUUCUGACGGUACCCAAAGAAUAAGCACCGGCUAACUUCGUG